rnacentral:lncRNA from 1 species
GGUAAAUAUGAGAAUAUGGCUUUUAUGGAGAGGGAUUGUUGGAAUUAUGUUGAACAGGUGAGACGAUUAGGCCUUGGAGAAGGAGAUGGCAUUGCAAUACAGGUGUACUUUUCAAAGUUGCAAGAAUGGUGCUCGUGAUUUCACUUCAGUAUGGAUUUAGACUAUGAGUCACGAACCCUUUCCUUUCCCAUCACACUUCUAAAUUCCUUUUCUCUUGCAAAAAGUCAGGCGCAUUAAUAUGUCCAUGUC